rnacentral:rRNA from 1 species
AGGACGAACGCUGGCGGCGUGCUUAACACAUGCAAGUCGAGCGGAAAGGCCCUUCGGGGUACUCGAGCGGCGAACGGGUGAGUAACACGUGAGCAACCUGCCCCUGGCUCUGGGAUAGCCUCCGGAAACGGGGAUUAAUACCGGACAUUCACUUCCUUCCGCAUGGUUGGUGGUGGAAAGUUUUUUUCGGCCGGGGAGGGGCUCGCGGCCUAUCAGCUUGUUGGCGGGGUAACGGCCCACCAAGGCGACGACGGGUAGCC